UCAAGCGAUUCUCCUGCCUCAGCCUCCCAAGUAGCCGGGAUUACAGGUGCAUGCCACCCCUCCUGGCUAAUGAUUUGUGUAUAGUAGAGACGGGGUUUCACCAUGUUGGUCAGGCUGGUCUCGAACACCUGAUCUCAGGUGAUCCAACAACCUCGGCCUCCCAAAGUGCUGGGAUUACAGGCAUGAGCCACCGUGCCCAGCCAAAUCACUGCUCUUAAGAAAGUUAAUGCAAAUCACUAAAUCACUCCUAAGUUGCUCUAGCAAACCAAAGUGGAUAUCUUAGAUCUCUGAAUGUCUCUACCAUACCUUCCUAGAUGCCUCAAGUUACCCCAGGAAGCAAAGUAUUUGGGGGGCACCAUUAAACAUUUUGCCCUAUGGUCUUUUGUUUUCUGAGGGCAGACGGGUUGUGUGUGUCUUCUGUCAGCUAGCUAUUAGGCUUAAUCAGCAAGCCUCAGCCUGUCUGAUUUAUCUAGGGACACUGCAUCCUCACUGGGCCAAGGGAUGGAGAGCUUGAUACAUAAGCUUAGCAGGAGCAGGCUUGAUCUGUCUGUGGCCUGGUCUCCUUCGCCGCCACUGGAGUAACCUGAAUAGCCCAAGAACAGCAAAAAGACACUGAGCUCUUGAAGGAAGUAGCAGGCUUCUGAAAGGACUGUGUUUGCUUAAUAUUUGCAGUGGUGGGAACCUCACAAAGUAACCCAUUUUAUUUUUACAGCACUAAAGUAACAUUCCUUUCCUAUUGAGAUCUGCUUCCUCUUAUUCUAGAGUAACAGAAUAAAUUAUCUCUUUCUUACAGGAAAACCUUUGAAAUAUUUGAAAACUGGGAUCAUUUCCCCCAUGAGAUUUUUCUUUUCUAAGCAAAAUACUUUCAGUUUCUUCUGGCAUUCUUUUUGUGAUGUGGUUUAUAGACCCAUUUUUGGCCUUGUCUUCUCCUGGCUAUGGUCUAUGCCCUCCUUUUAAAAUCCCAAAUGUUCUACUUCCAGUCUGACCAAUGCACUAAUAAAGUAGAAAUAUCACCUCUAAACUCUUGAACAUUAGGUAUUUGUUGAUGCAACCCAGCUGCAUUAACUUUCUUAAGAGAAAUUAUUUAUUAUUGUCUUGUCUUACACCUACAGUUGACUUAAAUUAUGUUUCACCCUGCUAUGCUUCUGCACUUGAUUUUUUUUUAAUUGGAAGUUCAGAAUUUAGUUUAAUCAAUUCCUAUUUAUUCAGAAUUGAAUAUUAAUUCUUUUGUUUGUUAGUUAUAACUCAUAUUACAAUUUGACUCUGUCAUCUAAUGUCUCUCUACUGAUUUGUGGCUAAGGGAAAAUAGGGAGGAACAUUGAAGAGAAAGACCUCUCCUCCACACCUUUGUCUGAUGGUGUUCUUCUGCAGGAGGAAGGAGAACUGCAGAAUACUGGUCCUAUAUUGGGGAGUGGAGAAUCCCAGGCUUUUAAGGGGUAGGAUUAGGAUCCAGGCCAAUAUGCAAGAAGCGAGUUCCUAAAAUGGAAAAAGAAGACGAUGCUGCAUUUUCCUUUUCUGUUUUCCCUUGCAUCCAAGAUCUGAGAAGAAGAGUGAAUCCAGUAGCUAAGGACACAGAUCUUGAUGGAAAGACCUACUGCAAAGGAUCCAACUGGCAUUCAAAGCUUUUGUACCAGGCCUGGAGAUACAACAAUGAAAAAGACAUGGUGACUUUGUAUAUGGCAGGUUCUUGGUAUAUUGGGAAGGCAGAAAGGAAACAAAUAAAUUGCAGCUCGGCAUGGCAGGGGAUGAAAUAGAAGCACCAAGGGCUGUGGAAACACAGAGAAGGUAAUAAAAAGCAUCUGGCUCUCUCUCCAGGGGAAUAGGGGAAGGCUUUUUAGAAAAAGCGACUUUUCAACUGGCAGCUUCCUCCCAAUCUAAUUCCAUCCCACACCAGUCCUGAUAGGCUCACUGAAUAUCUACUAUGCAAAAGGCAAAGAGAAUAAAUGCAAGCAUGAGUUGUCUAAAGAGGUAUUCAGCUUCAGAUGCAAGUUCAUAUUUGUGCCUUGGGUUGGGGGACACAUAACCUGGUCUUUAAGGAGCUUCCAAUCUCGCAGCAGCCCUUCCUUCUAGGGCUUCUAGUGUGUUCCCUACUCUGGUGUAGAAUUUAGAUCAGAAAGGGGGUAAAUUGGGUGUCCAUUUC